AGAGUUGUAUCCUGGCUCAGAAUGAACGCUGGCGGCGUGCUUAACACAUGCAAGUCGGACGAGAAAGCCUGGAGCUUGCUUUGGGCGAGUAAAGUGGCGCACGGGUGAGUAACGCGUGGGUAAUCUACCUCCGAAUUUGGGAUAACACUUCGAAAGGGGUGCUAAUACCGGAUGAUAUCCUUUGUACUUUGGUAUGGGGGAUCAAAGAUAGCCGCUCCAUGGAAGCUAUUGUUUGGAGAUGAGCCCGCGUCCCAUUAGCUAGUUGGUAGGGUAAAGGCCUACCAAGGCGACGAUGGGUAGCUGGUCUGAGAGGAUGAUCAGCCACACUGGAACUGGAACACGGUCCAGACUCCUACGGGAGGCAGCAGUGAGGAAUUUUGCGCAAUGGGGGCAACCCUGACGCAGCAACGCCGCGUGAGUGAUGAAGGUUUUCGGAUCGUAAAGCUCUGUUCAAGUGGGAAGAACGUAUUAUAUGUUAACAGCGUAUGAUAUUGACGGUACCACUGAAGGAAG
rnacentral:rRNA from 1 species